UACGUAGGGACCAAGCGUUGUUCGGAUUUACUGGGCGUAAAGAGCGCGCAGGCGGCUGGUCAAGUCCGAUGUGAAAUCUCCCGGCUCAACUGGGAAACUGCAUCGGAAACUGAUCGGCUUGAAGGUGGGAGAGGGUAGUGGAAUUCCCGGUGUAGUGGUGAAAUGCGUAGAUAUCGGGAGGAACACCAGUGGCGAAAGCGACUACCUGGCCCAUUCUUGACGCUGAGGCGCGAAAGCUAGGGGAGCGAACGGG
rnacentral:rRNA from 1 species